ACGGACAAAGGGCAGCAAACUCGCGAGAGCUAGCAAAUCCCAUAAACCGUGGCUCAGUUCAGAUCGUAGGCUGCAACUCGCCUACGUGAAGUAGGAAUCGCUAGUAAUCGCAGGUCAGCAUACUGCGGUGAAUACGUUCCCGGGCCUUGUACACACCGCCCGUCACACCAUGGAAGUUGGCCAUGCCCGAAGUCGUUACUCCAACCCUUGUGGAGGAGGACGCCGAAGGUAGGGCUAAUGACUGGGGUGAAGUCGUAACAAGGUAGCCGUACCGGAAGGUGCGGCUGGAUCACCUCCUAA
rnacentral:rRNA from 3 species